rnacentral:rRNA from 1 species
CCCUUAGAUAUCCUGGGCCGCACGCGCGCUACACUGAGUGUCUGAGAUACGAGUCUGCCUGGUCCGGCAAGGUCUAGGUAAUCGCUAAAAGACACAUCAUGCUUGGGAUAGAUUAUUGCAAAUAUUAAUCUUGAACGAGGAAUUCCUAGUAAGCGCAAGUCAACAGCUUGCGUUGAUUACGUCCCUGCCCUUUGUACACACCGCCCGUCGCUACUACUGAUUGGAUGUUUAAGCGAGGUUCUCGAACUGCUAGCGACUUAGCUUCGGUGAGGUCGCAGUGUGGGAAGUGAACCUAGCUUUGGUGUCUAGAGGAAGUAAAAGUCGUAACA